CCGAGUCCCGAGCGAGGGUCCCCUGCUCGUGCGCACGCCGCCGCCGUCCUUCCGUUCGAAAGCCCCACGGAUGUCUCACCCCACGCCCGACCCCCACUCCGGUUUUUCUCGUACCCAGCCGCCGCGACCGGAGUCGCUUCCCUCCUCCAUCCGGUGGAUCGGCUCCACCCUCCCCAGAAUCCCCAUUCCCUUCGCUGCCUCCUGCUCCAACACCUAUGGCCUGACGCCGCCGUCUCCUGGUAGGCCUACACGCCCACAUGCCCAGCAACUACCGAGGUCGAUGAUGGAGCAGCCCCGAGACCCUCCUUGUGUUGCAGUGGGAGCGGAAGAGGCAACGCACGCCCAGGGAAUCUGCUGAGAAGACGCCGUCGCCGCCGACCUUGAGGUACAGGUCUGUCUCCAUGAGCUCGAGGAAGCCAUGGCCGAUGCAUCCAACCACGGAUGCCGCACCUUCGUGGCUGCCACCCUCCCUCACCGCCCUACACAACCUACUCCUCGGUCACCUCAUUGCCACCGGCGGCUUCAGUUUUGUGAACUCCAUUUGCAGAGGGAGCUUAAGUGCAAUUUCAUUUCAGGGAGAGUUGGCACAUAUGUCUCCUUUUAGUCUGAUACUUCAGACUUCAGUACACAUCAAUAUUUCUCUGUUUUUAAGCUAUGCUACAAAUGCUUAAGUACAGCUUCAGGUUUCAGUUACAGUUUAUGCACAUUGCCAUGUUCUAAACUUCUGAUCCAUGGAGACAUAGUAUGUUUUCUACAAAAAUAAAUCAUCGUAACCUAAUCUCAUGCAACUUGAUGUACUAUGCUUUGUUGUACUGAGAAGCUGCAAAGCCUAAGCCUCAUGUAAAAUAUAGGAGGGCAUCUCUGAAGCGAUGGGGUGAAUGAUCUACAUAAUUUUUGGGAUGCCGUAAAUCUAAAUCUUACCUCUCCCUCAGCCAUUCGCGAUCUGGCACCCCCCUGCAUAUAUAGAUAAGUACAUGGUGUUUACCAUAAUUUACUUUUGCCUUUAUAGUAGUCUUCUUAAAUGUUUACUGUUGAGUGUCUCAUUUCCAGCAUAUCAGUAGAGGAGCCUGCAAGUUUGGAUAGUUAUGUUUGUUGAUGGGAUUCAUUGUGCUGGUUAAAGUCAUAAUAUAUCAGCAGGUAUGGCAUGGGAUUCAUUGUUCUGGUUAGAUGAGUAAAUCAUGGGACACAUUUCACCGUAUUGGAUUAUUUUGUUUAGAAUUCUUUAGUCAGGUACCUUCUUUCUCUUAACACAUCUCCCUCUACAUGUUUUAUAUAUUUACAACUUCCAAUUUAAUAGCAGAUCUCAAUACUUGCUUGCAUGGUGUAAGAAUGAAGAAGUAUGUUUUAUUUUGGCUCCUAGCUGUAGUCUACAACUGGGUGUUCCAAGAAUUUGUUUUGGCAUGGUCUUCUUUGCUACCUCUUCAUGGGCGAUCCUCCUUAUUUGUUGGUUGAUUCUCUAUGCAAGAAUCUUGCCUAAUGGUCGAAAAUAUAUGGUCACAUAUUUGCUCCAGGGAUUUAAUUUUAGUCAGAGCCGAUCGACAAAUGAUCAGCCAAUUAGUAUAAUUUUCUAGCUUAAUACAUGUCACGUAAGUAUGUUUUCCUUAAUGUGAUAGGCAAUGUAAAUUUUGUGGGUCUCUCAGUUGCUAUGAGCCUAAUAUAGUUAAUCGGAAAGCAUGAUUCUGAUGGAAAUGCAAAAGAAGCAGAACCUGAAAUAAUAGUUAAUUGGAUUGCAUGAUUCCAAUGGAAAUGCAAAAGAAACAAACCUGGAAUAAUAGUUAAUUGGAUAGCAUGAUUCCGAUGGAAAUGCAAAAGAAACAUAUUUUUACUACUAUUGUACAACAUAUUUUUAUUUUAUUAUUUUACUGCUUAAAAAGAAAGUAAAUCAAGACCUUGAGGAAUGCUAAAAAUAUAUAUGUAAAUGAGGAAAGGAGAGCCGAAGUUCAAGGCAUGUUCAGCUCCAAUGACUUGCUCUCAAUGAAGUGUUAGUCCUCUGAAUAUUUUUAUUCCUCUGAUCUCAAACAUCGUCUACGCAAGAGUCUAAGCUUCGUCUGCCACCGCUCUUCAGUUCACGCCGUUGAUGUUGUGAGGACUGGCAGCUCUUCAGUUCAUGCCGCCAAUGUUGUGAGGACUGGCAGGACUUCAAUGGGCAUGGAGGAUGCAACCUAGGGCGAGGGCAUCAGUGCGUUAAGUUGGCGGGGCUGCGUCGGUGGGGGGCGGCAAUGGCGGCAGCACCGCCGAUGUCCACCAGGAUCUCUAGCCGCAACAGAUCGAAGAACAACUUGGGGAUGUCGUGCAGCUCCUGCGUGUAGUAGAUAAAUCACCGCCCAGAUAAAUCACCGGGACACUAUACCAAGUGUGUUGUUCAUUGGGCCAGGAUAAAAAAUCUCGAGGGUGCCUCAAGUGCGACUCUAGCUAUUGAAAGUCAACGAACCUGACUACUUCCGGAGUUUGAUAAGGAUUUACAGUGAGUUCUCAUAGUGGUCUAUGUGCAUGAUGGGAUGCUGGUACUGCUGUUCUACUUUACUGCAGUUGUUAUUAAGCAGAUUUUGUCAAAGCAAUUGCUAUGUGUAUGCCAUUUUCUUGUUCUAGACGCGGCUGUUUUCCAUGUUGUAGACAUGGAUAUGAUGAUUGGUCGAUGAAUCAAUUGAUUUCUAAUACUAACAAUUGUGUUUCUGGCUAUUCUAAUACUGACAGUUUUGUUUCAUUGUACAGCGUUGAAACUAUUCAUAUGGUGAUGGAUGCAGCAUAACCAUCAGUUGAAGUAGAUAAUCUUCAAGGCUGUUUACCAUUAUCCAGGUUUAUUCGAAUUUAGGUUUGUAGUAAUUUAUUCAACAUCCAGGUUACAAGACAUGUAAUAACCUAUUGCAACUAUAGAGUGUGCCUAAGCCAAUGAUCAGACAUCGGCUGUUUGGAUCCACCCUUACAUCGAGGCACAAGUCCAUUGCGGUUGUUUAUUGUUUGGGGAUUCAGUUUCAUGCAAGGGGAAUCAUAUUGGUUGAAACCUUGAAGUUGAACAUGAAGGGCACAAUGUUGAUUUCCAUUGGGUGUUUCCCUUGUUGAGCACAUUAGUAGAUGGUCUCUUAUUGAAUUAUGGCAGUGAUAGUGUGGUAUUGUUGUGUAUUUUGUUUUCUUCUUUUAGUAGACCAAUUAUUUCAGAGCAAUUAAUUUGGGAUGCUACAAUACCGAUAGACAUGUGGCUAUCCCUUCAUUUUAUCAAGGAUGAUUAUUGUUGAUGAAAGGACAUUUACAUA